rnacentral:misc_RNA from 1 species
GUGAAUCAUCGAAUCUUUGAACGCACAUUGCGCCCCCUGGUAUUCCGGGGGGCAUGCCUGUUCGAGCGUCAUUACAACCCUCAAGCUCUGCUUGGUGUUGGGCCCCGCCGCCCCGGCGGGCCCUAAAAUCAGUGGCGGUGCCGCCCGGCUCCGAGCGUAGUAAUUCUUCUCGCUCUGGAGGACCGGGUGCGUGCUCGCCAGCAACCCCCAAUUUUUUCAGGUUGACCUCGGAUCAGGUAGGGAUACCCGCUGAACUUAAGCAUAUCAAUAAGCGGAGGA